rnacentral:lncRNA from 1 species
UGGAUCCCCAGGGAUACUAAUAGGCUGGUAAAAGAGAAAAUCUGUUUUCUGAUGAUUGAAAUGUAAAGGUAUGAUAUAUGUUAUGUUAUAAAGUGUCUAUGAUUUCAUGAUAUUAUAAGGUUAUUGUUUUCAUAUGUUGUUUUCAUGGAUCUCACCGAGGUAAGUGGACAGUAAAGGUUUUUAUGUUAAUAAACGAGUUCGUUAUAAAUCAUGCUCCAUUGGUCAUUUUUGUUUUCUACCCACCUUUACUUCCGUGGCGGUGAGAUAGUGUGAUGUCUUUAUUGGGCUGGUGUAGCUCAUCUCUUAUUUAACCAUUUCAUAUCAGAAAGACGUUGUUCCCGAGCCCGUUCCGCAGGAAGACGGCGAAGGGGACGCCUAAAGACUGUAUAGUUAUAUUUAUAGUUUUUAUUUCGAGUAUCUCUUUUAGUUAGUUUGUUCCUUAAUGUUUA